CCCUUGUGGAGGAGGACGCCGAAGGUGGGGCUAAUGACUGGGGUGAAGUCGUAACAAGGUAGCCGUACCGGAAGGUGCGGCUGGAUCACCUCCUAACAGGGAGACAACAAAAUGUUAAAUAUUAAUUUUGUCACCUUAGGUCGAUCGGUAUCUCACAUUCUUAAUUUUUUAAGAAUUUUAUUUCCUAAGUUUUUCUAGGUCACACCCAUUAUUUUCCUGGGCCAUUAGCUCAGGUGGUUAGAGCGCACCCCUGAUAAGGGUGAGGUCCCUGGUUCAAGUCCAGGAUGGCCCAUAUCUCUAUGUUGGGGGUAUAGCUCAGUUGGUAGAGCGCCUGCUUUGCAAGCAGGAUGUCAGCGGUUCGAGUCCGCUUACCUCCACUGAUUACCACCUCUCCCAUAAUUUAUAGAAGGGAAAUUUUUGUGUUGUGAUCAAAUUCUGAACGAAUCUAGCUUCCUAAUCAAACUUAUUAAGAUGCUGGACUCAUUGAAUUAAUUUCAUUGUUUUCAGAGAACCUUGACAACUGCAUAGAUUAUUUUUAAAGACAAUAAGCAUCUUUAAUGAUGCAGAUUUAUUAUUUGUGCGAAUGCAUUAAUAACAAUUCUAUUAAGCUGAUGCUUCAAUUUAAUGAAGUUAUUGGUCAAGCUACAAAGGGCUCACGGAGGAUACCUAGGC
rnacentral:misc_RNA from 1 species